AGUCGGGUAGCGAAAAUCAGGUAGUGAAUUGGGCUUGGAAACCGAUUGUUGGGUAGAUGCAUAGAGCCGUUGCAAGUGGUCCCCCAACGACGGGGGAAGACAACAUAUGUAUGUUAUUAUUAAUAUUUAAUACAGUAUUACAUAUUAUUCUUAA